rnacentral:rRNA from 1 species
UACGUAGGGUGCAAGCGUUAAUCGGAAUUACUGGGCGUAAAGCGUGCGCAGGCGGUUUUGUAAGUCUGUCGUGAAAGCCCCGGGCUCAACUUGGGAAUUGCGAUGGAGACUGCAAGGCUUGAAUCUGGCAGGGGGGUAGAAUUCCACGUGUAGCAGUGAAAUGCGUAGAGAUGUGGAGGAACACCGAUGGCGAAGGCAGCCCCCUGGGUCAAGAUUGACGCUCAUGCACGAAAGCGUGGGGAGCAAACAGG